GACGAACGCUGGCGGCGUGCUUAACACAUGCAAGUCGAACGGAAAGGCCUCUUUCGGGGGGUACUCGAGUGGCGAACGGGUGAGUAACACGUGAGUAACCUGCCCUUGACUUUGGGAUAACUUCCGGAAACUGGGGCUAAUACCGGAUAGGAGCUCCUGCUGCAUGGUGGGGGUUGGAAAGUUUCGGCGGUUGGGGAUGGACUCGCGGCUUAUCAGCUUGUUGGUGGGGUAGUGGCUUACCAAGGCUUUGACGGGUAGCCGGCCUGAGAGGGUGACCGGCCACAUUGGGACUGAGAUACGGCCCAGACUCCUACGGGAGGCAGCAGUGGGGAAUAUUGCACAAGGGGUGGAAGCCUGAUGCAGCAACGCCGUGUGCGGGAUGACGGCCUUCGGGUUGUAAACCGCUUUCGCUCAUGACGAAGCUUUGUGUGACGGUAGUGGGUAAAGAAGCACCGGCUAACUACGUG
rnacentral:rRNA from 1 species